rnacentral:tRNA from 1 species
GCGAAGGGAGCUCGGUUAGGUUGAGUAAUAGACUGUGAAUCUAGAGGACGUGGGUUCGAAUCCCAUUCUUCGCCC